GGGGGGGGGGGGGGGGGGGGGGGGGGCGGGGGGGGGGAGGGGGGGGGGGGGGGGGGGGCGCCGCUGACGUUGGCGGCGGGCGGGUGGGCAGCCCUUGGAGCAGCUACCUAUCAGACUGGGAUCACUUGGGGAAACCGGAGGUACUCCCGGAUCAUAUAUUGACCCGCAUUGUCCAAUAGUGAACGACGGGUUUGCUGUCACUUAUAGAUUGAUCCGCGCCGCAUUAGCUAGUUGGUAAAGUAACGGCAUACCAAUGCUACGAUGCGUAGCCGACCUGCGAGGGUGAUCGGCCACACUGGAACUGAGUCACGGUCCAGACUCCUACGGGAGGCAGCAGUAGGGAAUCUUCCGCAAGGGGCGAAUGCCUGACGGAGCAACGCCGCGUGAGUGAUGAAGGUCUUCGGAUCUGAAAACGCUGUUAUUAGGGAAGAACAAAUGUGUAAGUAACUAUGCACGUCUUGACGGUACCUAAUCAGAAAGCCACGGCUAACUACGUG
rnacentral:rRNA from 1 species